AGAAAAGAUCCUACAGCAAUAUGGAAAGUAAGUAGAGGAGAAGUUAGAAGGAAGUUACCAAGUUAGAAAUUCCUAUAUUAAGAUCCUGCAAAAGAAAAUAAAAGAAAUUAGUUCCUAAAAAUAGAAAUUCUAAAGUUAGAAAAUUCUAAGAUGGAAAUACAAAGUUAGUUUCUAAAAAAAGGAAAAGUUUCUAAAAAGGAAAAUAACUAACCUAGUUUCUAAAAACAAAAGAGGAAAGUUCUAAACCUAAAGUUAGAAAGUUCUAAAUUAGAAAUCCUAAUCCUAAAAUAGAAAGUAAUGAUAAUUUCUAAAAGGGAAAAAAAAUUCUAAAAAAAAUGAAAGCCUAGAAAUAGAA